AUGGCGAUGCCGAAGCACGACGCGGACGGCGCAGUAGUCGACCGCCGGCUCGACGCGACCACGAUAUGCUUCUCCGAGGAGCCCGCGCCGGCAGCCUCCGACGGCGGCAGCCACCGGUUCGCCCUGCGUGUGACGUGCAGCGUGACGCGGUCCCUGGAGUUCCGCAGGAGCGGCCGGCACCCGAAGGUGGUGCUGCAGAAGUACACCAAGGCCGGCUGCGACUCCGCCAUAACGUUCCCCGUCGGCGACCUGUCCGUGCUACAGAGCGACGGCGCCUGCCAGGGGGCCCUCCGCGGGAUGCUGGCGGAGCUGCGUCAGCUCCGGGAGCUCCACCUCGACGAGGACGAGUGGGACGCCGUCGUGCCCGCGGACAUCGUGCCGCAGAUCGUCCGCGUGGCGCGCGGCGAGGACGCCAAGGACGGCUUCACUUUCUGCUUCGCGAUGAAUGCGCACCGGCGGAUCAUACACGGCGAGGAGGCCCUGCUGAUGGCGUGCAAAGAGAGGGAGCUGGACCUGGACGGCGCCGGGACGACGGACGACUGCGCGAUCUGCCUGGAUGGCCUGGAGGGAGAGCCCGCCGUGGAGCUGCCGGCUUGCCCGCACGCGUUCCACCGCCGGUGCAUUUCCACGUGGUUCUCCAAGAAGACGACGUGCCCCAUAUGCCGGGAUGACGUUAGGCUCUGUGCCCUGCGGAAGUUUUUGAACCUGUAG
rnacentral:rRNA from 1 species